rnacentral:sRNA from 1 species
UUCGUAAACAUGACUAUCAUCAUGGUGGUCAUUGUCCAACUGUUUCUUAUCUAUGUCCGUAACUAUGUUCUAGGCCGGGCUAUUAGUUUAAUUCAAAGUUGUGGAGAAAUCACUUGCUGCUGAAUCUUACUCGCCUUUUUUUUCCCUCUUGUGAUUGCUAUAAAUCCAUUCAUUCAAAUUAGUCAUGGAGCAAAAUUUUCACUUUUUACUCCCCCAUAAGAAGUGAAGGACGAAUAUAUUUUUUUGCUAUGUUCUUUACAAUUUGAAAGACUUAUAUUGAUAAACGGUGAGUGAUUUUUGGCGUACGCACAUACUUACGUGUUUCCCAAUUUCUCGGAACACAUUAAUGCAUGCUCAGAUAAAAUUACAUUAAAAUGAAGAAAAGGAAAAACUAGUGAACAAAAUAAACAUGUUUUUGAGCAUCUUGUUUCUGCAGAAUGAAUUUUAUAUCACCUCUCUUAAAUAAGAUACGAUGAUUUUUCCACUGAUCUUGUAGGAUUGAAUAAGGUAUACUCACGAACAUGCCACAUAAAACAUAUAUGGCCCAAGUCUUCAUAAACAUGAAUGUCAUCAUGGUUGUCAUUGUCUAACUGCUUCUUCUCACUGUCUGUAACAAUAUUGUAGGACGAGCUAUUACUUUGAUCAAAGAGUUGGAGAAAUCACUUGCUGCUGGAUUUUACUCACCUAUUCUUUUUCUCGUCCUUGAGAUAGUCACAAAACCACCCGCUCAAAUUAGUCAUGGGGCAAGAUUUUCAGUUUUUGCUCUCCAUAAGAAGAGAAGGACGAAUAUGUUUUUUCUUAUCUUCUUCACAAUGCUAAAAACAACCAUUGAGGGAUAGUUACGGACUAUUUUAUUUGCCCACAUAAGUAAAACAUAUGAUUUUUGCUGUAUUCACAUAUUUACAUGUUUCCCAUUUUCUAGAAACACAUUAAUGCAUGCUCGAAUGGAAUUACAUUAAAAUAAAGAAUAAAAUUAGUGAACAAAACGAAAAUGUUUUUGAGCAUCUUGUUUCUACACAAUGAAUUUUUUUUAUAAUCUCUCUUAAAUAAGUUACAAAGCUUUUUCCACUGAUCAUGAAAUGUUAAAUAAACUAUACUCACGAACAUACCACAUAAACGACACAAGUCUUCAUAAACAUGAAUAUCAUCAUGGUGGUCAUUAUCCAACUGUUUCUUAUCUAUGUCCGUAACCAUAUUCUAGGGCGGGCUAUUAGUUUGAUUCAAAGUGGUGGCGAAAUCACUUGUUGCUGGAUCUUACUCGCCUGUUUUUUUCUCUCUUGUGAUGGCCAUAAAUCCAUUCGUUCAAACUAGUAAUGGAGCAAGAUUUUCACUUUUUACUCUCCAUAAGAAGUGAAGGACGGAUAUAUUUUUUCUGCUAUCUUCUUUACAAUUCAAAAGACUUACAUUGAUAAAUAGUGAGUGAUUGUUUUAUUUGAUCGCAUAAUUAAGUAGGAAUAUGUGAUUUUUGUCGUACACACAUAUUUACGUGUUUCCCAUUUUCUCGAAACACAUUAAUGCAUUCUCGUAUGGAAUUACAUUAAAAUGAUGAAAAGGAAAAAUUAGUGAACAAAAUAAACAUGUUUUUUUUAAUGGAACACAGCAGGGGAGGCCCCCGCUGUUAUAAAACUUUAUUAAAAAGGAAGAAAAGCAAAAUACAAUUACAAGGAAUUAAUCCAAGAUAUAACUACUAAUUUGUCUCUCUCGUUAAGUCUAAACAAAAAGAAGGAGAUCACCCUUUAAGAGUUGCCUCCAGGAAGUCAAAGAAGGAACUUUUCCAUCAAAAAUGAGACCAUUCCUUUGCUUCCAAAUAUUCCAAGAAACAAGAAGGAACUUUUCCAUAAAGCAAAGAUCAUGAUGUCUUCUUUUAGCAUCUAUCAACAUUGGUCCCAAACUGAAAGAUGUAUUCCAGUUAAUGCCAACUGUAUGCCAACAACUCUGAGCAAAAGGGCAAACAAAGAACAUGCCACGUAAACGACAUCUAUCAAAUAAACAUGUUUUUUAGCAUCUUGUUUCUGCACAAUGAAUUUUAGAUCACCUCUCUUAAAUAAGAUACGAAGCAAGGUAUACUCACGAACAUGCCAUGUAAACGGCAUACGUGGCCCAAGUCUUCAUAAACAUGAAUAUCAUCAUGGUUAUCAUUGUCUAACUGUUUCUUCUCACUAUCUAUAGCAAUAUUGUAGGAUAAGCUAUUAUUUUGAUCAAAGAGUUGGAGAAAUCACUUGCUGCUAGAUUUUACUCACCUAUUCUUUUUCUCUGCCUUGAGAUGGUCAUAAAUCCACCCGCUCAAAUUAGUCAUGGGGCAAGAUUUUAACUUUUUGCUCUCCAUAAGAAGAGAAGGACGAAUAUGUUUUUUUGCCAUCUUCUUCACAAUUCUAAAAACUUCCAUUGUGGAAUAGUUGGUGACUAUGUUAUUUGCCCACAUAUGUAAGAACAUACGAUUUUUGGCAUUUGCACAUAUUUACGUGUUUCCUAUUUUUUUGAAACACAUUAAUACAUGCUCGAAUGAAAUUACAUUAAAAUGAAGAAAAGAAAAAUAGUGAACAAAAUGCACAUGUUUUUUAGCAUAUUGUUUCUACAGAAUGAAAAUUUCUUGAUAAUCUCUCUAAAAUAAGUUACAAAACCUUUUGCAUUGAUCAUGUAAGUUUGAAUCAACUAUGCUCACGACAAUUCCACUUAAACGGCAUACAUGACCCAAGUCUUCAUCAACAUGAAUAUCAUCAAUGUGGCCAUUCUCCAAUUGUUUCUUAUCUUUGUCCGUAACCAUGUUGUAGGCCGAUGGCUAUUAGUUUGAUCCAAAGCAUUGGAGAAAUCACUUGCUGCUAGAUGUUACCCGCCUAUUCUUUUUCUCUCUCUUGGGUUGGCCAUAAAUUCACCCACUCAAAUUAGUCAUGGAGCAAGAUUUUCACCUUUUGCUCUCCAUAAGAAGAGUAUGAUGAAUAUGUUUUUCUACUAUCUUCUUUACAAUUCUAAUGCCUUGCAUUGAAAAAUAGUGAGUAAUUGUUUUAUUUGCCCACAUAAGUAUGAACUUGGGAUUUUUGGCAUACACACAUGUUUACGUGUUUCCCAUUUUUUCGAAACACAUUAAUGCAUGCUCACAUGGAAUUACAUUAAAAUGAAGAAAAGAAAAAAAUUAGUGAACAAAAUAAACAUGUAUUGCAUCUUGUUUCUGCACAAAUAAUUUUUUAUCACCUCUCUUAAAUAAGAUACGAAGCUUUUUCCACUGAUCAUGUAAGAUUGAAUCAGCUAUACUCACGAACAUGGCUACAUAAAUGACAUCUUGUAGGUUGGACUAUUAGUAUGAUCCAAAGCGUUAGAGAUAUGGCUUGCUGGUAGAUCUUACUCGCCUAUUAUUUUUCUAUCUCUUUGGGUUGGCCGUAAAUCCUCCUCUCAAAUUAGACAUGGGGCAAGAUUUACAUUAUUUGCUCUUCAUAAGAAGAUAAGAUCGAACAUGUGUUUCUAUUAUCUUCCUAGCAAUUCUAAAGAGUUGCUUUGAGGAAUAGUGAGUGAAUGUUUUGUUUGCCCACAUAACUAGGAACAUGAGAUUUCUUGGCAUAUGCAUGAAUUUAUGUGGCUUUCAUUUUCUCGAAACACAUUAGCGCAUGCUCAAAUGGCAAUAGAUUUAAAAUGAAGAAAGCGAACUAUGAGUAAACAAAAUGAACAUGUUUUUGAUCAUCUUGGUUUUGAAAAGUGAAAUAAAAACAUCUAUCAAAUAAAAUACAAAGCUUUUUCCACUGAUUGUUGAAUAUUGAAUUAGCUACUCUCACGACCAUACCACAUAAAUGGUAUACGUGGCCCAAGUCUUCAUAAAUAUGAAUAUCAUCGUUGAAGUCAUUGUCCAACUCUUCAUCCGUAAGCAUGCUGCAGACAUAGUUAUUUGUUUGAUCCAAAGCAAUGGAGAAAUCAUCUUUUGCUGGAUCUAGCUAUUUGUUUGAAUGGCCAUAAUACCUCCACUAAAACUAGACAUGGGGUAAAAUUUUCGUUGUUUGCGCUCCAUAAGAAGGAAGGAAGAACUAGUUUUUUUUGCUAUCUUCUUCGUAAUUCUGAUAACAACAUUAGGAAAUUGUGAAUAACUUUUUUAUAUGCCAACAUUAGUAUUAAUAUGGGUUGAAUUCUUGGUGCAUGCACAUAUUUUUGUGCUUCAUACCUUCUCAAAGCACAUUGUUGCAUACUAGUGUAGUAGUAAAAUAAAAAAGUAAUAGUGAAUGAACAAAAUUAAUGUGUUUUAGUUAUCAUCUUGUUUUUGCAAAAUAAAAAGAGAAUAACCUUUUAUCAUAAAUAAACUACAAACCUUUCUCCAUUGACCGUGCAAUAUUGAAUUACUGUUCUCACGAUCAUACCACAUGCAUGGAUAAAUGGCCCAAAUCUUUGUAAACAAGAAUGACAUGAUUGUGUCAUUGGCCAAAUGUUUUUCUCUUUUCUCGUAGAUAUGUUUUUGGCGUGUCUAUUGGUUUGAUUUAAAUCGUUGGAGGUCAUAGCUCGCCUUUUCUUUUUCUUUCUCUAAGGAUAGCCAUAGUGCUAUCAUUGAAAUGGUAGUUUUUUUUUGCCCGGGGGGGGGGGGGGGUUGUCAGAUUUCCACUAUUUUCUCUCCGUAAAAAGAGGAGAGAAGGGAGAAGAUAUUUUUCUACUAUCUUCUACAUAUUUCUAUUGACCAAAGUUAAGCAAUAGUGUGUGACUAUUUUACUUUUCCACCAAAGUAAUAACAUGGGUUGAUUAAUGCCCAUACACUCAUCUUUAAGUGCCUCCCAUUUUCUCAAAAUACGUUAAUUCACAUUUGACUUGCAACAUCGAUAAAUAGGAAAUACUAACAGUGUAGUAGCUCAAAAUUUGUAACACAUGCAGCUAAUAGAAAUGAGAAAGUAUUUCGAGACAAGUAAUUAUUUUUAGUCAAAUAUGUAUUGCAAAAGUUUGGGCUGCACAUACACGGUUACUAAUUUUUACUAAUCAGUAAAAUCUAAUAAUAUUGAUAUGAAUUCCAUAUUUAACAUCCAUCCUAAUGCAGCAAAUCAUUUAAAGUAUAAUUUUCAAGGCAAUCAGACAAAUAUCCUAGUCUAGGUUUGAAUUGUUUGAUCAUGUCAAGGUUUUUCUACUAUCAUACUAUAUACAUGGGAUACAUGGCCCAAAACUUCAUAAACAUGAAUACUAUGAUUGCGGUCAUUAUCCAACUGUUUUUUAUUGGCUAUCCUUUCUGAUGUGUCAAGCAGUCCAAAAUAUAUAAUUAGAAUACUAAAUAGAAUACAAAUUUAACCAUAACUGAAUUCAAAAGCACAUAUUUAACCCAUGAUGUUUGUGCUACAAAUAAACCUUCUUCGUACCUCCCACGGACAACAGGUGUUUCCAACCAAUUAUUCACAUCUUAUAAUCAUGGCCAUAUCACACUUAUCUCAAUACACAAGAACCCACAGCCAGUUUACUGGAGUAAAUAGCCACAACCCUGCAAGUUACUCGGUCUAGUACGAUCCAUAAUAGGGAGGCAUGGUUGUACGGUAUUACAUGAGCGAACAUCCCAACCAACCGUCCUUAAUCAACUCAGAUGGUGCUACGUGCAUCCGAAAUAAGUUCCAUAAUUAGCCAGAUCAUGUAUGAUAAUUUAUGUUUAUUACCAUUCCCAAUCCAAGCAUGAUUCAUUCCCAUUCACCUAUCUCAAUCAACCAGCUAUUUCCGUUAACUGCAUACCAUUGUCUUCUCUAUGCAUGGCUAAGCAUUUAUUCAAGUAGUAGUCCCAUAGAUAUUACCCAUCUACUGUUUGACAAGGUAUACAAGAUCAAUAAUUGAAGGCAAGAUGCAAAUAGCAAUAGGAUAAUAAACUCUACCCGACAUAUUUGCAAAUGGCGAUGCAUAUAUAGUUUUAAAUCAAAACAUGCUUUUGCAAAUUGGGUUCAACAUAACCAAAAUUUAGCCUUGUUCCUGUGCUAUUUAUUGAGGCUCUUCUGGUUACUCCUUGAGCUCAUCCUGCACAUCAGAAUUUAGCAAGAAACCAAGAGACAAAUAAGAACCAAUAGAUAAAUAGGUUACAAAACUAGGAAAACUUCUACCACGGUAAAGAAAAUGUUGUGAGAUGAAGUGGUACACUGCACAUUGACAACAUUCCUGACUAUAGGUUACAUUUAUGCUUAACUUCAAAUUUUACUUGUUUGCUCACUGAAACUGUCCUCAAUUUUCAUUCAAUAGUAGAGAGAGAAUAUUGGACUAAUUGCAUUAAUCAUCUAGGACAGUGUAUAUAUAGAUAGAGUACAGAGAUAGAAGAUAAGGAAGGACUCUAAACAAAUCAAUCCUAUCUAUGAUAUCAUAGUUUUUUUAAUAUAUACCAAUCGAUUGUUUAUCUUUACAGGAUUUUGGUCUUAACCUCAUGAAACUAAACCAUCAGAAACUAACUAUAGAGUUUUGUUGAUUUCACAAAUGCGCUUCUUCAAAAAUACCAUUUAUGCCCAAAAGAAAUAUUCCGCAAGCAUACAAAAAACCAUUGUACCUUUCACUUGGGAGUAUUGUAUCGAAUCCACAA